rnacentral:tRNA from 1 species
UCGCCCGGGCGGCCGGGGACGAAGGCGGCCGCGGCGAGCGCGCCGCCGAAGGUCGUCACCGAGGGCGGCGGCCCGGUGCCGUUCCGCUCGGGCAAG